rnacentral:rRNA from 1 species
CCUACGGGGUGCAGCAGUAGGGAAUCUUUCACAAUGGGCGAAAGCCUGAUGGAGCAACGCCGCGUGCAGGAUGAAGGCCUUCGGGUUGUAAACUGCUUUUAUAAGCGAGAAAUAUGAUGGUAACUUAUGAAUAAGGAUCGGCUAACUACGUGCCAGCAGCCGCGGUCAUACGUAGGAUCCGAGCAUUAUCCGGAGUGACUGGGUGUAAAGAGUUGCGUAGGUGGCAUAAUAAGUAGCUAGUGAAAUCUGGUGGCUCAACCAUUCCGACUAUUAGCUAAACUGUUAAGCUCGAGACCGUUAGGGGUAACUGGAAUUUCUAGUGUAGGAGUGAAAUCCGUAGAUAUUAGAAGGAACACCAAUAGCGUAGGCAGGUUGCUGGGACGGUUCUGACACUAAGGCACGAAAGCGUAGGGAGCAAACGGGAUUAGAUACCCGAGUAGUC